GUCCCACCGCAAACCCCCAGCUUGCCUGGGCCUGGUCCGGUCCCUGACGUGCAGGCUGGCAGCCAUCGGAUGUGUGCCCAGGAACAUACCAGUCAUUUGGGGAAACAGAGGUGGGGGCUCACCCCACACCUGGCUGGUCGCCCGACCUGCAGGCACAUUGUCAAGGGCCUCUGGUGUGGGAGGGGCUGUGGGGAGUGGACAUGCCUCCCCUGUUGGGGCUUCGCCUGCCUCUACUCCCAGCUCCGACUCCCCUGGUGACUGCAGGCUGCCACACUGUCGGUAACUAAGAGAACACUGCGAAGGGAAGUGGCAUCGACAGCCCCUCGCCCCGGUGCACGUGUGCACACAGCCAUCCUGUACACGCGGUGCAUUUGCAUGACCCUUAAGCUUGUCCUUUCGAUGCCCGAGAGACCCUGGGCGGGCUAUGGUGAGGGGCCACACAGGCCGGGCAUGGCUGGCAGAGGCAGGUG
rnacentral:lncRNA from 1 species